AGUGAACGCUGGCGGUAGGCCUAACACAUGCAAGUCGAACGGCAGCACAGUAAGAGCUUGCUCUUACGGGUGGCGAGUGGCGGACGGGUGAGGAAUACAUCGGAAUCUACUUUUUCGUGGGGGAUAACGUAGGGAAACUUACGCUAAUACCGCAUACGACCUACGGGUGAAAGCAGUGGAUCUUCGGACCUUGCGCGAUUGAAUGAGCCGAUGUCGGAUUAGCUAGUUGGCGAGGUAAAGGCCCACCAAGGCGACGAUCCGUAGCUGGUCUGAGAGGAUGAUCAGCCACACUGGAACUGAGACACGGUCCAGACUCCUACGGGAGGCAGCAGUGGGGAAUAUUGGACAAUGGGCGCAAGCCUGAUCCAGCCAUACCGCGUGGGUGAAGAAGGCUUUCGGGUUGUAAAGCCCUUUUGUUUGGAAAGAAAAGCAGCAGGUUAAUACCCCGCUGUUCUGACGGUACCCAAAGAAUAAGCACCGGCUAACUUCGUG
rnacentral:rRNA from 1 species